rnacentral:misc_RNA from 1 species
UUAAGUUCAGCGGGUAGUCCCACCCGAUUCGAGGUCAAAAGUAGAAUAGUGCACGGAACGCCGUGCGAUUGGAAGCAGGCCAUGUAUGCGAGCUGAGGCGAGACAAUUAUCACGCCAGCGCAAGCACGGUUGUCCUCGCUAAUGCAUUUAAGGCGAGCCGUAAGGCAGCGCCCAGAUCCGCCGUGAGGCGAUGGGAACGU